rnacentral:rRNA from 1 species
GAUGAACGCUGGCGGCGUGCAUAACACAUUCAAGUCGAACGGAGUUUAUGGAAGGAAGUCUUCGGAUGGAAUGAAGUAAACUUAGUGGCGGACGGGUGAGUAACGCGUGAGAAACCUGCCUUUCAGUGGGGGACAACAGUUGGAAACGACUGCUAAUACCGCAUAAUGUAUUUUGGGGGCAUCCCUUGAAUACCAAAGCUUUAUGUGCUGAAAGAUGGUCUCGCGUCUGAUUAGCUAGAUGGCGGGGUAACGGGCCCACCAUGGCGACGAUCAGUAGCCGGUCUGAGAGGAUGAACGGCCACAUUGGGACUGAGAUACGGCCCAGACUCCUACGGGAGGCAGCAGUGGGGAUAUUGCACAAUGGGGGAAACCCUGAUGCAGCGACGCCGCGUGAGCGAAGAAGGUUUCGGAUCGUAAAGCUCUGUCUUCAGGGACGA